rnacentral:rRNA from 1 species
UACGUAGGGCGCGAGCGUUGUCCGGAAUUAUUGGGCGUAAAGAGCUCGUAGGCGGCCGGUUGCGUCUGCUGUGAAAUCCCGGGGCUUAACCCCGGGCGUGCAGUGGAUACGGGCCGGCUGGAGGCAGGCAGGGGAGAAUGGAAUUCCCGGUGUAGCGGUGAAAUGCGCAGAUAUCGGGAGGAACACCGGUGGCGAAGGCGGCAUCCUGGACCAACACUGACGCUGAUGAGCGAAAGCCAGGGGAGCAAACGGG